rnacentral:rRNA from 1 species
UACGGGGGGAGCAAGCGUUGUUCGGAUUUACUGGGCGUAAAGGGCGCGUAGGCGGCCACCGCAAGUCGGUUGUGAAAUCUCCGGGCUUAACCCGGAAAGGUCAAUCGAUACUGCGGGGCUAGAGUGCAGAAGGGGCAACUGGAAUUCUCGGUGUAGCGGUGAAAUGCAUAGAUAUCGAGAGGAACACCUGCGGCGAAGGCGGGUUGCUGGGCUGACACUGACGCUGAAGCGCGAAAGCUAGGGGAGCGAACGGG